GACGAACGCUGGCGGCGUGCUUAACACAUGCAAGUCGAGCGAUGAAGUUUCUUCGGAAAUGGAUUAGCGGCGAACGGGUGAGGAACACGUGAAGAAUCUGCCCUCCACUUUGGGAUAACACCGGGAAACCGGUGCUAAUACUGAAUAUUGAAACAUAAGUGGCAUCACUGAGUUUUGAAAGAAUUUCGGUGGAGGAUGACUUCGCGGCCUAUCAGCUAGUUGGUGAGGUAAUGGCUCACCAAGGCAACGACGGGUAGCCGGCCUGAGAGGGCGACCUGCCACACUGGGAAUGAGACACGGCCCAGACUCCUACGGGAGGCAGCAGUGGGGAAUAUUGGGCAAUGGAGGAAACUCUGACCCAGCGACGCCGCGUGCGGGAUGAAGGCCUUCGGGUUGUAAACCGCUUUCAGUAGGGAAGAAGCGAAAGUGACGGUACCUACAAAAGAAGCACCGGCUAACUAUGUGCCAGCCGCCGCCGUAA
rnacentral:rRNA from 1 species